AACCCACCCAGACAAACCCAGACAACCCUUCCUACUUCCCCGUCAUCUCCUUCGCUUCUCCUGUCUGAAACCCUCGCCCCAGACCACAAAUGGAAACCAUGCCAAUUCUUUCACCCAAACACCAAAUCAAACCUACGCUUGAAGCAAAGUUGACUAAAAUUCACCGAGAUUCGUUCAUUUCUACCGAUUAAAACCACUACACAGAUGAAUCCAAGGCUUCGACAACAAACAGUUCGCGGUAGAAAUAGAGUACGUCUUCAAUCGUAGAUUAUGAAAGAUACCACCCCUCAGAUAAAUUGACAGGAUAUGUAUUUGCAAAAAACGCACAAGGAUUUCGAAUCCAAAAAGAAAAACACAACAACGAAAGGAAGAUAAGCAUUUGACUGUAAUUUUAGAUUUAUUUACCUAAAUAGUCAAAUCUGUGCCGUUACUAUGUCAGUGUAUGUAAUAUUUAGCUUUUGGAGAUGAGCAAAUUUAUAUGUCAUGAAAUUUGUAAGUGAAUAUGGAGCAAUAUUUGUUUCUCAAUGUUAUAGAAUCCCAUUUUAUUACCAUAUUAAAGCAUUGAUUAGCCUCUGUAAAUAAUUACUACUUGUUAGACUUAUGCUAGGUAGCAAUUCCCUUUUAUUGGGAAAGAAACAAAUUUCUGAUAUUUUAAUUGUUGUUCUGUAACUUGAACUCAAGUAUUCUGUAACUUGACUAAAAUGCUAGCAUACCUUAGUAUAUAUCUGAAGUUGCUGUUUAUAUCAAUUCUAUUAAAAAAAUGUUAUUAAUGAUCAUGAGACAUUUCAUAAUUCUGAGUGAUUUGGAGUGGAUCCAUACCUGUGACAUUAACAGUCUGAUCCAUUUCUGCGAUCUUCAUUUUCGUGGGUCACCAGAGAUUGUAUUCUCUUUAAUGUAAACUGAACCUUCUAAAGCAGCUUUUGCUUUGGUGGUCCUUUCUUGUUCCAAAGCCUGUAUUUUGAUAUGGAUACACACUGUUUGUGCAUCCUCUUUAAUUUGUUCUACUUGAAAUAAGAAAAGUUUCUUGACUUUUGUCUUCAGGCAGAUGUGAUGCAUUUAUGUUUUUACUUCUGCCACUCUCAGCUCAUAUGUGUCCUCUUUUGAAUCUUCUCAUUCUUUUUUAAUUGUAGACAAACCCACUGCUUAUACUUUAGAAAUAAUUGCACUCAUAACUAUUUGUCUAAAUAGUAUACUACUUGCCUUUGAAAAGAGUUAAAAUUUGCAUGCCAGCUAAAAAUGAGUCUUACAUUGAAAGUUCGGUCGAAUCCCACAGUCGGUUAAAUUUUUUGAUAACACUAAUGUAUCUACAUUUUUCUUUUCUCAGUUUAAUCUUUUUUCUUUUUCAAUGUAGACUACUUCAACAAUGCGAUGCAAUUGAGGAACUCUACACACCAAAUAAUGACAUACAACAAUGAGGAGCCAAUGUGGGGAAGAGAAAAGCAAAGUAGUUGAACUGAGAGCUUCAAAAUGAAUAGGAUCUGAGAUGAAGAGUCAACACAAACUUGGUUUAAAAACACCAGAAACUACAAAUAGAAGUGUAUACCUUUCCUAUGUGCUCUGGCAACGACUGUGGAGUAAGUUCUUGACGUUCUCCCUGGGCAAGCUUCCUCUCCGGAGGCAAAAUAAGAAUAGAGAGCAAAUCAUUAAAUCCUAUUAAUGAAGAUUAAUGAUAUAAAAAAAAAAAAAAAAAGCUUACCUUUUCGUGGAAGACUACCACUUUGCUCUUAAUUUCAGAAGAGCCUUUCCGUGGAAGGAACCUCUUUGCUCUUGAAGGUAGAUAAAUUAUUGGCGAGGUAGUGCAUUCCCAUGGUCGAAAGCAAAAAUGCAAAGCAGAAAUUUGGAGAAUGAUAGUUAACCUGUAAUAUAUAGUGUGUGUAAUAGAUGUCUUAGAGUGAAAGAGUUCUAUGUAUAUUAAAUAGUUUUGAAUUCCCGGUGAGAGUGAAAGACUUCUAUAAUCUUUUCCUUGAUUCUCGAAUCGUUUUUGACGAUUCGAUUUCCUAAGUUUUGACGAUAAAUGCAUUCAUACUGCAAAGCCUGA